AGGGCAGGCUUUCCAGGGCCUGGGAUGGGCUCAGUAGGUAGGCGGAGGAGAGGGAGUGUCUUGGUGUCACUGGGGGCCAAUCCUGCCCUUGGUUCCUGGACUGAUCGGUUCCCCACCUUGCCAGGGAGCACCUCUCCAUCCGAGGCUUCAUCUGGUGGCUGCGCUGCCUGGUCAUCAAUGUCGUCCUCUUCAUCCUCCUCUUCUUCCUCACCACUCCAGCCAUCAUCAUCACCACCAUGGACAAGUUCAACGUCACCAAGCCUAUAGAGCAUACCUCUUUAGAACCUCAGAGUUUGAAGAAGGACAGUUUGCAAAUCACUUGGAGUGAUAAUACUAUAGUAGAUAAGACCCAGACUGCAUGGAUUCAAAUCCCUACCUCAUGGCUUGCUAGCUAGGGAAGCUAUUGAAUCUUUUUU
rnacentral:lncRNA from 1 species